AUGUUUAUAAUGAAAGACUUUUAUAUUUUGUUAAAUGUUUUCUCAGUGUGUUUUGAGAUGAUCAUGUCGUUUUUCUUUAUUAAUCUCUCUGUUGUUUUUUUUUUUUUCAGAUCGAGUCUUACCCUGUCAUCCAGGCGGGAGUGCAGUGUCCCAAUCUUGGCUCACCGCAGCCUGCACCUUCCAGGUUUAAUCGAUUCUUCUGCUUCAGCCUCCCAAACAGCUGUCAUUACAGCUUCCUGGCUUUAUGCUAUGUUGGAAAUAGAUGCUGGAAAAGGAUUCUCGAUGCUGCAAAGAAAAAUUAGCCCUGAGACAAAUGAUCUUUCAGCAAAGCAAUUUUUACUUCCUGGGCUGCAGGAAGGAAGAACAAAGAAUAAAGGGAAUCCACAGAUUCAUUACUCACGCCUUUGGGGUUCUCCUUACUGUUGUGUGUGAUCUCCAUUGGCUGGAGCCAGACCUCACAAUCUAAACUAAAACCUGAUUGGUUAACAACUUAAAACUUUUCUAAACAGGUAAAAGCAGUGGAAAACUGGGACAUGCCUGAGAGCAUGUCCAGCACAGAUAUCUUGGUUAAAGUACAAGGACAUAGAAUGUACGACAUGCCUGUAAGCAUGGCAUGUUAAAACAGUUACAUAGGGUAGGGCUUAACAAAGUUAUUAGCACACUUACUCUUUAACAAAAAGGAACUAACUUUUCUACUUCCCACAUGCUGUGUCUUCACUUUUGUUUAAGAACAUAGACUUCUGUUUCCCAAGCAUCAGACUUUAAUUCCCAGAAUCCUGAUAAUGGUAUUUGCUUCCAGAGAAUCAAAGAUGUGCUGUCAUUCUAGUUUCAGCUUCUAAAUUUCAUUGUUCUGGAUAGGCUUAUGGGAAUUCCUUUUUCUGUUUGUUUUUACUUUUGUUUUCUUUGGGGUGUGUGUGUGUGUGUGUGUGUGUGUAUGUUUGAGACAGAGUCUUACUCUGUCACCCAGGCUGGACUGCAGUAGCAUGAUGUUGACUCACUGCAACCUCCACUUCCCAGGUUCAAGUGAUUCUCCCGCCUCAGCCUCCGGAGUAGCUCAGAUUACAGGCGCGCACCACCACUCUGGCUAAUUUUUGUAUUUUUAGUAGGGAUGGGGUUUCACCCUGUUGGCCAAGCCGAUCUCAAACUCUUGACAUCAAGUGAUUCACCCGCCUUGGCUUCCCAAAGUUCUGGGAUUACAGGCAUAAGCCGCCAUGCCCGCCAGCCCCUUGUUGCUGAUUGGUGAACUGAGUAACACUUUGUUGGUUGUAGUUGCUCUAGUUCUUAGGUGUUUUGCUUCAGUAGAGUUUUCCAGAAUACCUGGUUUUCCACAUUGCAAAUAAAAGUCCUUACAGUGUCCCUCUCUACUCCUAUGAACACCUUUACUUUAACAUUUUGUCUGAUAAUAAUAUUGCUAAACUUGCACUGUCUUGGUAAACAUUUAUUUUCCAGGGAUAUUUGUCCCUCAUCUUCUUUUAUUAUUAUUUUUACUAUUAUUAUCUUUUAAAAUCCACAUAUGAUUUGUUUUCCGUCCCAAAUAACAGGAGCAUUCUCUAAGGCAUGUUAUUACAUACAUUCUUUGCUUUAAUUAAAAAACUAUUAUAAAAAGAUAAAAUAUUGUUCAUGUUCACACAUGCUUUUUUUUUUUUUUUAAGAAAGGCAAAAGAAAACUUAUAAAACAUCCACGAGAUCACAAUCAUAAAGCAAAAUACCUUGGAAUGCAUUCCAUUUAAUUUAAUAACUUGCAUUAUUUUGGAGUUUUAUUGUAUGUAAACCUGAAAAAGAAAAUCACUGUUCUUGGAGCUAAAGAGAUUUUUUAUGGGAAAAAUGUCUAUCAGGGAAAUCUACUUAUUUAUAAGCACAUUAGCCAAUUUUGUUUUUAAACUAAUGAUCCUGUGGUCCAGGUAAUACCUUUCAGCUCAUCGUCAAAUGAUUACUACCUCAGAACAGUUUAGAGCCUUUGGGAUUCAGAAAGUGUGGCUACACAGGGAAUUUUCAUGGUAUCCAAUAUAUACUGCUUUGAGUAAUAUAUGUCAGUAAUUUCUGAUUAUAUUAAAAUAAAGUCAAAUGCAUCUAAUCUUUUACAUUUUUAUUUUGGUUAAACAUCAGAUCCAGUGAAACCUAAAUAAUAUCUCAUUGAUUGCAACUGAUAAUAUUGACAUUAUUAUUUUUCAUUUUAAUUUUACCAAUACAGGCAGUGUUUAAUGGCUAAUUGACCUUUAUCUGAGCUCUGUAAUCAGAAAACAGCAAUGGUUAAGGAAAUUCUCCCACCCCCUUUUGUUCCAAAAUGGCUUACUGCAAAAACCACCCUUUAUCAUAUAUGAUUUAAAUAAGAUUCAUGGGUUCCUUCUUUUUUAACCUCUAACAAUGGUAAACACAGGCUGCCAUGUUAUAAAUAUGUCUGAAAAGUUCAUGUGCUGGAAGCUGAAUCCCCAGUGCAAGAGUAUUGAGAGGUGAGAUCGUUAGGAGAUGAUUAAGUCCCGAGAGCUCUGCCGUCAUGAAAGAAUUGAUGCUAUUAUGUCAACACUGGGUUCCUGAUAAAUGCCUCAGUUGGGCCCCUCAAAGGAUUAAUAAGUGCUUAUCAUCUAACUAUGGGGGCUGAAAAAUUUAUAGCAAUAGAUAAUAGAAAGACUCUCAUCAAUUAGAAAGAUGAGGUAACAGUGUUAAUUACAUAAAAAAUCCAACUUCUGUUACUUUAGGUAUAUAACUGAAAAAGAAUAAAAAUCCAGAGAAGUGGUUAAACUUACAUACUGAAUUGGAGAAAGUAUUAAAUAAUGAAAACAUGACAAGACAAAGGGGCUUGGCCUAAGGCAGUCAAUGCUGGAAAAAUAAUUAAAAAUGUAAGGGUUUGUUUAAUAAGGUUGAUUAAAACAGGUUUCUCUUGGCCUUGACUCUCCGUUUCUGGAAAUGACAAUGUUCCUUUACUUCUGGUAUAGGGAAGACAUCUUCUAUAGGGAGGUUCUAUCUCCUAUUUUUUUUUUUUUUUUUAUGAGACAGAGUUUCGCUCUUGUUACCCAGGCUGGAGUGCAAUGGUGCGAUCUCGGCUCACCACAACCUCUACCUCCUGGGUUCAAGCAAUUAUCCUGCCUCAGCCUCCUGAGUAGCUGGGAUUAUAGGCACGCACCACCAUGCCCAGCUAAUAUUUUGUAUUUUUAGUAGAGAUGGGGUUUCACCAUGUUGACCAGGAUGGUCUCGAUCUCUCGACCUUGUGAUCCACCUGCCUCGGCCUCCAAAAGUGCUGAGAUUACAGGCGUGAGCCACCGCUCCCAGCCUUGUCUGUUUUUUUCUCUUUCUCUCUGCCACUUUCCCCUUAAUACAGUUUAAAUUUUCUGUCUCAUUCAUCUUUUUCCUCUUUCUCAACUGACUAGAUAUACCAUAGAAUCAGUUUGUUUUGUUUGUCUAGCAACCUCUUUUAGUCAUUGAACAACUGCUUCAUUUUCCGUGCUUUUAACAUGAGAAGAACAAGAAGCAUUUUUCUCUUUUGGUAACAGCCCACCAAGGUAGGUGGGAAUGUCUUCUAACGGACCAAAUCCAAGCCAGACUCUACCUAAAUCAUCAUUCUGGUUCCAUCUCUUACAAGUCAUGGGGUUCGGGAGAAGAUACUGCACCUUAGGUGCUCUAAUUUCCCUUUCUGUUAAAUGGGUAAAAAGUAAUAUUCAUGACAUAAGGUUUUUUUUCUUUUCUUUUCUUUUCUUAAGAUGGGGUUUCACCAUGUUGGUCAGGCUGUUCUUGAACUCCCCACCUCAGGUGAUCAACCCACCUUGGCCUCCAAAGUGUUUGGAUUACAGGCGUGAGCCACCAUGCCAGGCCCUUCUUUUUUUUGGUUAGAGUUUUGGUCUUGUUGCCCAGGCUGGAGUGGAGUGCAAUGGCACAAGCUCUCCUCACUGCAACCUCUGUGUUGCGGGUUCAAGACAUUCUUCUGCCUCAGCCUUCCAAGUAGCUGGGAUUACAGGCAUGCACCACCAUACCCAACUAAUUUUUUAUAUUUAAUAGAUGAGUUUCACCAUGUUAAUCAGGUUGGUCUCAAACUCCUGAGUUCAUGUGAUCCACCCGCCUCAGCUGUGCAGUGUUCGCACCAAGGGCUUGAGACAGUUAGCAUGACUCACCCCAUCUUGGCCGCUGGACCUUUCUGCACUCCCACCUCUCGACGGCUGUCGAGCUGAGACAAAGGUUGCGGGCUGAGUCACAGAGGCAUAAACAGAAUACAAAGCAAAGGUCUGCGGUUUAUGAGGACAUUGUGCUGUCUGCUUUCAUGUCCCCAUCAGUCUCUGUGUAAGAUAUAAACUUGCUGCAAUUGAGAUGCCUAAGAGGGACAAGAGACCCCUGCCCAUAUUUUCCCUGGAGCUAAGCCUUUGUUCUACCUCCUGAUGGAAUACAGGAUUAACAAGCCACCUUAAAGGCGCCAUUGUUUGGUAGCACAGUGUAUCUUUGAAAAACAUAAACUGCUUUGUAAACUGCUAUCACAAGCCCCCUUAAACUGCUUUGUGAGUGGUUAUCACAAGCCACUGAUAACUGGUUUUAUGGAGUUUCUAUUUCCUUUCUGUUUACCCCUUUUCUGCUGAGAUAAAGUAAAUGUAACAAGAGAAAAGGUAUAAAAGCUAUAACCCACAAGAAUAAAUUUGCUGCGUUUUAACCAUAAUUUAUGCAGACCUCCAGACUUCGCUUUACUAUUUUCUUUCACUUCCAUGCACUCUCUCCCUCGGGUUGAAGGAGACAUCUACGUUAGCAGUCUCAGGGACUCCCGCAGGUCAGUAGCCCCCCGGCAGAUGUGCCGGACCCCAACAGUAAAUACUAGUGAGUAAGAUUGGAUUGAAAUAAAACCAGCAGAAGUCUAGAGAAUAAAUAGUUUCAGAGAAGAUGUCAAGGCUGGCAUUUUGGUUCACACCUGUAAUCCCAUCACCUUGGGAGGCCAAGGCAGGCGGAUUUGAGACCUGCCUGGCCAACAUGGCGAAACCACAUCUCUACCAAAAAUACAAAAGUUAGCCGGGCGUGGUGGUGCACUCCUGUAAUCUGGAAACUACUGGGAGGCUGAGGCAGUAGAAUCGCUUGAACCCAGGAAGCAGAGGCUGCAGCAAGCAGAGAUUGUGACACUGCACUCUAGCCUGGGUAAGAGAGACUCCAUCUCAAAAACACAAAAAGAAUGUGGUGCCCAGGUCUAUAAUAUCGUAGAAUGACAACAGACAACAUGAGUUUUGCAUAUGGCAAAUGGACAUUACUGAGAAUAUGGUUGAGGAGGGCACCCCAGGGACCAUCCAGGACA
rnacentral:lncRNA from 1 species